rnacentral:rRNA from 1 species
GAUGAACGCUAGCUACAGGCUUAACACAUGCAAGUCGAGGGGUAACAAGAGAAAAGCUUGCUUUUCUUGUUGACGACCGGCGCACGGGUGAGUAACGCGUAUCCAACCUGCCUAUAACUAGGGAAUAACCUUGCGAAAGUAAGACUAAUACCCUAUGAUUUCCUUUGAUGACAUCAGAUUAGGAAUAAAGAUUUAUCGGUUAUAGAUGGGGAUGCGUCUGAUUAGCUUGUUGGCGGGGUAACGGCCCACCAAGGCAACGAUCAGUAGGGGUUCUGAAGGGAAGGUCCCCCACAUAGGAACUGAGACACGGUCCAAACUCCUACGGGAGGCAGCAGUGAGGAAUAUUGGUCAAUGGGCGGAAGCCUGAACCAGCCAAGUAGCGUGCAGGAUGACGGCCCUAUGGGUUGUAAACUGCUUUUAUACAGGAAUAAAGUUAGCCACGUGUGGUUAUUUGUAGGUACUGUAUGAAUAAGGACCGGCUAAUUCCGUGCCAGCAGCCGCAGUAA